AUGGUCUACAGGGGACAGACAUUACUACUGGGCCGUACCAUUAUGGUCUACAGGGGACAGACAUUACUACUGGUCCGUACCAUUAUGGUCUACAGGGGACAGACAUUACUACUGGUCCGUACCAUUAUCGUCUACAGUGGACAGACAUUACUACUGGUCCAUACCAUUAUGGUCUACAGUGGACAGACAUUACUACUGGUCCGUACCAGUAUGGUCUACAGGGGAGAGACAUUACUACUGGUCACUACUAUUAUGGUCUACAGGGGACGUACAUUACUACUGGUCCGUACCAUUAUGGUCUACAGUGGACAGACAUUACUACUGGUCACUAUCAUUAUGGUCUACAGGGGACAGACAUUACUACUGGUCAGUACCAUUAUGGUCUAUAGGGGACAGACAUUACUACUGGUCAGUACCAUUAUGGUCUAUAGGGGACAGACAUUACUACUGGUCAGUACCAUUAUGCUCUACAGGGGACAGACAUUACUACUGGUCAGUACCAUUAUGCUCCACAGGGGACAGACAUUACUACUGGUCAGUACCAUUAUGCUCUACAGGGGACAGACAUUACUACUGGUCCAUACCAUUAUGAUCUACAGGGGACAGACAUUACUACUGGUCUGUACCAUUAUGGUCUACAGAGGACAGACAUUACUACUGGUCAGUACCAUUAUGGUCUACAGGGGACAGACAUUACUACUGGUCCGUACCAUUAUGGUCUACAGGGGACAGACAUUACUACUGGUCCAUACCAUUAUGGUCUACAGGGGACAGACAUUGCUACUGGUCAGUACCAUUAUGGUCUACAGGGGACAGACAUUACUACUGGACCGUACCAUUAUGGUCUACAGGGGACAGACAUUACUACUGGUCCAUACCAUUAUGAUCUACAGGGGACAGACAUUACUACUGGUCUGUACCAUUAUGGUCUAUAGGGGACAGACAUUGCUACUGGUCAGUACCAUUAUGGUCUAUAGGGGACAGACAUUGCUACUGGUCAGUACCAUUAUGGUCUACAGGGGACAGACAUUACUACUGGUCCAUACCAUUAUAGUCUACAGGGGACAGACAUUACUACUGGUCCAUACCAUUAUGAUCUACAGGGGACAGACAUUACUACUGGUCAGUACCAUUAUGGUCUAUAGGGGACAGACAUUACUACUGGUCAGUACCAUUAUGGUCUAUAGGGGACAGCCAUUGCUACUGGUAAGUACCAUUAUGGUCUACGGGGGACAGACAUUACUACUGGUCAGUACCAUUAUGGUCUACAGGGGACAGACAUUACUACUGGUCCAUACCAUUAUAGUCUACAGGGGACAGACAUUACUACUGGUCAGUACCAUUAUGCUCUACAGGGGAGAGACAGACAUUACUACUGGUCAGUACCAUUAUGAUCUACAGGGGAGAGACAUUACUACUGGACCGUACCAUUAUGGUCUACAGGGGACAGACAUUACUACUGGUCUGUACCAUUAUGCUCUGCAGGGGACAGACAUUACUACUGGUCAGUACCAUUAUGCUCUACAGGGGACAGACAUUACUACUGGUCAGUACCAUUAUGCUCUACAGGGGACAGACAUUACUACUGGUCAGUACCAUUAUAGUCUACAGGGGACAGACAUUACUACUGGUCAGUACCAUUAUGGUCUACAGGGGACAGACAUUACUACUGGUCCAUACCAUUAUAGUCUACAGGGGACAGACAUUACUACUGGUCAGUACCAUUAUGGUCUAUAG
ensembl:lncRNA